CUUUCAGAAGGAUAAUCUGAUUAUUAGAAAAUUCUUUUUUCUUUUUCUUGCAAGCAUUGGAACUUGGAUGUGACAUAAAGAGGCUAAUUAAAAUGGGGAACAAAUUAGAUUAAUUUCCACGGAUAUAAAAGUGAUAUAAAAGUCUUGUUCUCAGCAGUGACUCCAUAAUAGAACAAUUUCAUUUAUGCCUAAGCAGGUCCUUAUUCUGUCUAGUGAGGAUUGCCACCAGUGUCUUACUGACAAGGUUUUUAUUAUUUCUUUGACAGUUUGAUAGUAAGUCAGUGCUUGCUUCUGGGUUUUCAGUCUCUUCAAACCUGGAUUAUGAAGGCUACUAUAAAAAUAUGGAUAAAAUGCUACCUCCCCAGAGCCCCAUCCGUUAUGGCCUGCACCCCAAUGUGGAGAUUGCUUUUGUAAUAACUGCAAACAACAUGCUCCAUAUGCUAUUAGAGCUGCAAUUCAAAUACUCAGUCACUGGGAAAGGAGUCUCCCAAGCUGUGGAAGACAAGAAGUGGAUACACAAGACACUUGCCUCAUGCAAUGUGGUAUCUCUUGAGGAUGAAGGCAGAGCUAGAUGACAUAGAGAAAAAAAAAAUCUUUCAGAAGUGAGAUCAGCUAUUUAAUCCAAACACCAGAAGAAUGCUACUCACAUAAGCUGAUUUGUUUUCCAGAAUAUGAGGCUGGAUCUACUCAUAUAUGAGGAAGCAAAAUGCAAAGCCCUUGAUUAUGGUCUGACUCCUGUUCCAGUGCAGACAUGGAGGGUGAGUUGGCAAUCUCCUCAGAGAUGGAGCAACUACAGACAGCUCUUUUUUUUGAUAAUCUUCCUGACACUUGGAUGAGACUGGCUUAUCCAUCAACAUACAGUUGCUCAGUGGAGCCUCCUGAGUAAGGCAAAGAGCCACUGACUGAUGGAGUGAACGAGGACUGGAGAGCUGACCAAAGGACAGGAAAGCUCUGCCAAGCACAAAGACAGGUAGCACUAGAAGGCAAAACAAGCCCACUCUUCUGAGAUCAGUACAGACUUCUGAGAGAUCAAAAGUGGAAGAAGAAAUCUUGUUCAUCAGAAGACACAUUGAGAAGAGCAUCAGAGGUGAGAAAGGGAUAGCUGUCAACAGGAUGUGGAUGAAAGCACCAGUAACUCAUUUGGAAAAGAUCUAGCACCAGAAUAAAUGUACAACAGCUUACCAGGCUGAGAGAGGACAGGAUCUGCUGGUCUGAACGAUGGUUUGAUCUGUUACGAUGGGAGUGAAGUCUUCAGUUUGAAAAAUAUUAUUCUGCUUCCUGGGUCUGCAAAAGACAGGACCAGACUGCAAGGGAAAGCCUGGAGAGGAUUUCCAUGCUUUAAAAAGAGAAACAGGGGAAGACUGAAUUUCUUGAGGUCACUGAGGAAACGCAUGGCAGCGCUAGGAAAAGAAGCACUCGAGCAGCCGAGAUACCAUCUUCACAGCCAAAACCAGAUGGGUUUUCUCUGCAGUAUGACAUAACAGCAAAGACAGAGCAGUUUAACCAUUCCGGUGCAGUGAACAACUUCCGCGCUGCUGUGAGCUUGACUCCUAGCCUCAAGAUCUCACCCUCCCUAGUGUUGUCUGGAUAUCAAUUUUUUUCAACCCCCAGUCCUUCCUCACAGAUGUGGAGGAACCUCAAUCUCACCAACACUGGAUGAAAAAUACCUGUGUUUCCAGAUAGGCUGUCAAACAAAGCAUAACCUCCCUCAUCUCAGUAGUGGUGGGAUUUGGUGGCACUUGCUGAAUGAUCUUCACACAAAGAGCAACUACAAGACAGCUUCUCUCCCCUGUUUGUAUUUUCCCAGAAACGCACUAACCACAGCACUGCAGAGCUCAGUACAACUACAGGUAAAAGUAGUAGCAACCGUGCCCUGGUCUACCACUUCUAGUACCUCUCUUCUCUCCAAUGACUUUUCUGAGGGAUAAAGUCCACAUGGUUAAGAUGCCGUGCAAACACCAAGAAAUCAUUGCUCAGAAAUUGAGGCAGAAAAAGGUUGAGGUGUUUUUAACUGUGGAGAAGAGCUGAGUGUUUUAUGCAAACUGACCCAUUUAUCAUAGGGACUUCUGAGAAUCCCUUUUACAAAAUCCAUGUUGUCUUGCAUAUUGUACAGCAAGCUGUGGCAUACUGGGAGGUGCAAAGGAACGCAGCAAAGGUUCUCUUACAGGAAUCACAUUUCCCCAUGGAUUCCAAUAUGUUAAAAGUAUAAUGUGACAUCUGUACAGGGGAAACCAGAAGCUAGAUUUCAGCAGUCAGGCUUAAUUACCAACUUAGUUAAGCCUGAUAACAGCCAAAAUGCUCAUCUCAUCCAUAACUUUUCUUCAGAACUGGAAAAAAAAAUCAGAUGCUAGACAUGAGAUUUUGGAAACUGGAAAACCAGGUGAGAAUUAAAAAAAAGUAACUAACAGACUGCAAUACUCUCAACUCCCUUGCAUCAGCUAUAAUGCAUAAUAUACUUAAUAGCGAGCCUAAAAAAUAAACUAAUUCUGCUUGCAAGGAGAAAGAAUGUGUAUCUCCAG